AAUUACUUAGCUUACCUAAUACAAGCAGGUGUUUUGAAAGCACAAGACAGAAUAAUUCUAGUAAUUU
rnacentral:tRNA from 1 species